rnacentral:rRNA from 1 species
UACGGAGGGAGCUAGCGUUGUUCGGAUAUACUGGGCGUAAAGCGCACGUAGGCGGCGCAGCAAGUCAGGGGUGAAAUCCCGGAGCUCAACUCCGGAACUGCCUUUGAAACUGCAGUGCUAGAAUCCUGGAGAGGCGAGUGGAAUUCCGAGUGUAGAGGUUGAAAUUCGUAGAUAUUCGGAAAGAACACCAACGGCGAAAGCACUCUGCUGGGCCGACACUGACACUGAGAGACGAAAGCUAGGGGAGCGAAUGGG